rnacentral:rRNA from 1 species
UACGGAAGGCAGCAGUGGGGAAUAUUGCACAAUGGGCGCAAGCCUGAUGCAGCCAUGCCGCGUGUAUGAAAAAGGCCUUCGGGUUGUAAAGUACUUUCAGUCGUGAGGAAGGUGUUAAGGUUAAUAACCUUAGCAAUUGACGUUAGCGACAGAAGAAGCACCGGCUAACUCCGUGCCAGCAGCCGCGGUAAUACGGAGGGUGCGAGCGUUAAUCGGAAUUACUGGGCGUAAAGGGCACGCAGGCGGUUAAUUAAGUUGGAUGUGAAAUCCCCGGGCUUAACCUGGGAAUGGCAUUCAAGACUGGUUAGCUAGAGUCUUGUAGAGGGGGUAGAAUUCCAUGUGUAGCGGUGAAAUGCGUAGAGAUGUGGAGGAAUACCGGUGGCGAAGGCGGCCCCUGGGACAAAGACUGACGCUCAUGUGCGAAAGCGUGGGGAGCAAACGAGGGAUUAGAUACC